AGCUUUGCGCAGCGGCAGUAUCAUAGCCAAUGAGGUUAAUCUGAGGUGUGAUUAUUGCUAAAAAUAUCAGUCAGUGUGAGGUUAAUGGCUGGACUAGAUGAUCUUCAAGGUCUUUUCCAACCCAGAUGAUUCUGGGAUUCUGUGAAAACUUGUGCCUAAG
rnacentral:snRNA from 1 species